rnacentral:tRNA from 1 species
CGGUCUGAUAGCUGAAGGCCGUAGCGGUGCGGUUGCCGUUCGUGUUGUUGCGGUUCAGGCCGACCGGACCGA